rnacentral:rRNA from 1 species
CAGCCGCCGCGGUAAUACGAAGGGGGCUAGCGUUGUUCGGAAUUACUGGGCGUAAAGCGCACGUAGGCGGAUAUUUAAGUCAGGGGUGAAAUCCCAGGGCUCAACCCUGGAACUGCCUUUGAUACUGUCGAUCUGGAGUAUGGAAGAGGUGAGUGGAAUUCCGAGUGUAGAGGUGAAAUUCGUAGAUAUUCGGAGGAACACCAGUGGCGAAGGCGGCUCACUGGUCCAUUACUGACGCUGAGGUGCGAAAGCGUGGGGAGCAAACAGGAUUAGAUACCCCAGUAGUCCCUGUCUCUUAUAC